CGUCUCUACGAUAUUUGCGUUUCCUUUUUCAUGGACCGUAAUCUUCGCUUGGAGACGCAGAAGAUCCAUGACCAAUAUCUCGUUACUGCAGGCAUUAGGCACUAGUGCAGUCCUGCAUCUCCAUAUAUUGGCCACAUU
rnacentral:snoRNA from 1 species